rnacentral:lncRNA from 1 species
AGAGAGAGAGAGAGAGAGGAAUCCCAGGAAAACAGUUAUGAUUUUGCCCUAAAAAAGAUGCAUAUGUUAUACGUUCUUCUUAACAUGAACAUCAGAAUACAUCUUUUGAGCUCCCAAAAGCCCGAUCUACACACCUCGGGGAAACCUCGGCUUCUUCUUGAUCUGCUUCCAAGACCAAGGUAAGCCAAAGAGGCAAAAGGAAGGCAUUGUCAGGGUGGUGUGAGGGGGUUUGGACGUGCAAGGAACCCCCAGCAGCACUCCACCGCGAACCUCAGUGCGAGGCUGCCUCGAACCAUAUAUAAUAAAGCAGAAGGCAGAGCGUUUUGUGGUACGUGGGAUUUCAAUUGCUGCCCUGAUUAAGGGAUUCCUACGCUAUCUCCCCUUCGCCA